GGCCGCGUGGCCUAAUGGCUAAGGCGCUAGAUUUCGGCUCUAGAGAUUGGGCGUUCGAAUCGCCCCGUGGUCG